ACUCCUACGGGAGGCAGCAGUGGGGAAUUUUGGACAAUGGGGGCAACCCUGAUCCAGCCAUCCCGCGUGUGCGAUGAAGGCCUUCGGGUUGUAAAGCACUUUUGGCAGGAAAGAAACGGCCCUGGUUAAUACCUGGGGCAACUGACGGUACCUGCAGAAUAAGCACCGGCUAACUACGUGCCAGCAGCCGCGGUAAUACGU
rnacentral:rRNA from 1 species